UACAGAGGUCUCAAGCGUUGUUCGGAUUCAUUGGGCGUAAAGGGGUGCGUAGGUGGCGCCGUAAGUCAGGUGUGAAAUUUCGGAGCUUAACUCCGAAACUGCAUUUGAUACUGCGGUGCUUGAGGACUGGAGAGGAGACUGGAAUUUACGGUGUAGCAGUGAAAUGCGUAGAGAUCGUAAGGAAGACCAGUGGCGAAGGCGGGUCUCUGGACAGUUCCUGACACUGAGGCACGAAGGCCAGGGGGAGCAAACGGG
rnacentral:rRNA from 1 species